CAAAGUCCGCCUCCGCCUCCGGCAGUCCGGCCUUCGCCUCCGCCUCCGCCUCCGAUCCCCCUCCAUCGUUCAUCCCGUACGCUCCGGCGCCACCCUCGCCUCCGAAGACCGCGAUUCCGGCCGUUCGGUGCUCAUUUCCUUUCGGUCCAAACCAGCGGGAGAAAAAGGCAGUUGGCUGGCACAGGCAGCGCUGAAGGAUGCCGCUGGGGCUCAUUGUGAGUUCGCUCGGGCGGGCGAUGCGGCGGAAGCGGAUUUCUUCGCUCGACAUCCUCUCCUCAAAGCGGGCACCCCGGGAUUACUACAAGGGCAAGAACUGCAAGCCCACGGGGUUCCACACCCGCAAAGCAUUUAGUGGUUAGUACUUGUCUGAGCCCUGAGGAUAUGUGAUUGUUGAUGAAAAGUUGCCAAGAUUUGUAGUCCCUGAUUUGACUGAUUUCAAGCUGAAGCCAUAUGUGUCACAAUGCGCCAGGGACCUCACGGCGUCCACGACUUCCUCGGCUACAAGCUGAAUCUACUGAAAACAAGAGUUGAUCUCAUGCAGUUGCUUUAGUGAAUACUUGCGUUUUACAUGAGCACAGUGCCACAGUCCAGUCCAGUCCAGCAUAGUGCCGAUGUUUCGAGCUCUGUAGCAUCAGCAGCCUAGCUACAUGUACACUGAUCAGAUAGCUUUCUUGUAGUUGCAAACUUCCGUCCGCAGCAUAAAUCGUGUCGAGGUUUUCUGGUCUUCGCAUGUACAUGUACCCAUACAACAUGUUCGUUUUUAUUUAUUUUGAUUUUCUUUCCGGAAGUGAAGAUUGAAGCUAUACUACAUGACCACCGUUGAGGGUUGAA